rnacentral:tRNA from 14 species
UAGUAAGAGGAAAAUCCGUCGACUUUUGAAAUCGUGAGGGUUCAAGUC